CCAAUAUUCACUUGCCUCUUGCCCAUGAUCCUGCAACCAUCAUUCAAGCAUAAUAUCAAGCUUGUAACGGCAGACAAAUCUUCAACGUAAAUGCAGUAUAAAUGUCAAGACGUAAUCUUAGCUUACUUUCUAAAUUCAAACCUGCAAAGCUGUGUAUAUAUAUGUUAACAAUUGUAUUACUCAAGGUGUGGCGAAAUAUACAAUUCUGAAGUUUAUCAAAUAGCUCAACUCUCUGAAAUUUCUUAUCUUCAUCAUGGUAUCAGAGCAACAAAUCUCCAACGAGAAUUUGAUCCCUCACAAUCCUAUCUCAACCCCAUCCUCUCCAACUGAAACACCUCUGAUUGCCCUCAACAUCACAUCCCAGAUAAAUGAUAAACUUACCCCCUCUACAUUCCUUCAAUGGCGCGCUCAGUUUGAAGCCUUACUCAUCGGGUAUGAUCUCCUUGAUUAUGUCACUGGAGAAAAAAUCUGCCCUGUAUCCACCAGCACAGCAGUCUGCGCCAUCCAACGAACACACUGGAUAAGGCAAGAUAAGCUUAUCCUCAGUGCCAUUUUGGCAUCCACAUCCACUGUUAUUACUCCUCUCAUCUCCAUGGCCAAGACAUCAAAGGAUGCAUGGCAUAAAUUGCAUACUCUGUAUGCAAGCAAGUCCAGAACCAGAGCAAUGCAACUUAAGGAAGAACUCACAAUGAUAAAGAAGGGCAACCAGUCAAUUCAAACUUAUCUUCAUUCUGUAAAAUCGUUGGCAGACGAAAUCUCCCUCAUAGAUCACCCAAUCUCUGAAGAUGAUCUAACACUCUAUAUUCUAAAUGGCCUGGGAACUGACUUUCGUGAAAUUGCAGGCCCUAUUCGCGCCCGAGAACGACCACUCACUUUUGAGGAACUUCAUGAUCUCCUUGUAAGUCAUGAUGCAUAUCUUCGCCGUCUUGAUGCCUCCUCCCAUCUGAUUGCUUCUGCAAAC
rnacentral:lncRNA from 1 species